GACGAACGCUGGCGGCGUGCUUAACACAUGCAAGUCGAACGGAAAGUGCCCAGCUUGCUGGGUGACUCGAGUGGCGAACGGGUGAGUAACACGUGGGUGAUCUGCCCUGCACUUUGGGAUAAGCCUGGGAAACUGGGUCUAAUACCGAAUACACCCUGCUGGUCGCAUGGCCUGGUGGGGGAAAGCUUUUGCGGUGUGGGAUGGGCCCGCGGCCUAUCAGCUUGUUGGUGGGGUGAUGGCCAACCAAGGCGACGACGGGUAGCCGGCCUGAGAGGGUGUCCGGCCACACUGGGACUGAGAUACGGCCCAGACCCCUACGGGAGGCAGCAGUGGGGAAUAUUGCACGAUGGGCGCAAGCCUGAUGCAGCGACGCCGCGUGAGGGAUGACGGCCUUCGGGUUGUAAACCUCUUUCAAUAGGGACGAAGCGUAAGUGACGGUACCUAUAGAAGAAGCACCGGCCAACUACGUGCCAGCAGCCGCUGUAACAC
rnacentral:rRNA from 1 species